UACGGAGGGUGCAAGCGUUAUCCGGAUUCACUGGGUUUAAAGGGUGCGUAGGCGGGUAAGUAAGUCCGUGGUGAAAUCUCUGAGCUUAACUCAGAAACUGCCGUGGAUACUAUUUGCCUUGAAUAUUGUGGAGGUGAGCGGAAUAUGUCAUGUAGCGGUGAAAUGCUUAGAUAUGACAUAGAACACCAAUUGCGAAGGCAGCUCACUACACAAUCAUUGACGCUGAGGCACGAAAGCGUGGGGGAUCAAAACAGG
rnacentral:rRNA from 1 species